UCCCUGGUGGCUCGGAGGUUAAAGCGUCUGCCUCCAAUGCGGGAGACCUGGGUUCAAUCCCUGGGUCGGGGAG
rfam:TPA: Bos taurus chromosome 28, whole genome shotgun sequence.